UACGUAGGGGCCGAGCGUUGUCCGGAGUUAUUGGGCGUAAAGCGCGCGCAGGCGGCUUCGCGCGCCCGACGUGAAAGCCCCCGGCUUAACCGGGGAGAGUCGUUGGGGACGGCGGAGCUUGAGGGCGGGAGAGGUCGGUGGAAUUCCCGGUGUAGUGGUGAAAUGCGCAGAUAUCAGGAGGAACACCAGUGGCGAAGGCGGCUCACUGGCCCGUAACUGACGCUGAGGUGCGAAAGCGUGGGGAGCAAACAGG
rnacentral:rRNA from 1 species